GUUUAAGAAAUUUUUAAUCCUGAUGAGUUCAAGGGUCAAAAGAGUCUGGGAGUCUGAGGGAUGCUCUUCAGCGUCUCAGCCUUGGUCCUCCAAUAAGUCAUCAAAACAUACUUCAGUCCUGUAAUUAAAGCAACUGCAGCUGCAUGGUGUGAAUUUUGUUCUCGCACAGAUCCUUACAUCGGGAAGAUGUUCAUUCCCUUCACCAUGCCUGUUCUCCUCUGUCUCUCCAGCUUCAUGAGAAGUUUGACCUCCUAAAGCGGACACACCAAGAGGAGAAGAAGAAGGUGGAAGACAAGAAGAAGGAGCUUGAGGAGGAGGUGAACAACUUCCAGAAGAAGAAAGCUGCAGCUCAGUUGCUACAGUCCCAGGCCCAGCAGUCUGGCGCCCAGCAAACCAAGAAAGACAAGGAUAAGAAAAAUAGUCCUUGGCUCUGCACGGAGUAAAUGAUACCCUCAAAUCUAAUUGGAUGUGCUUUCGCCUUUGCAUCUUCUUCUUUAUGUAACCAUCCUGUUGACAAGCCCUACUCUCUCCUAAUGGACAUAGAGCAUUAGAAGAGCAGGAGCUGUCUGUUCACACGUGUUGGGGAAGAGUUACCUCAUUUCCACCAUCGCCUCCUGUUCUUUUAAAGUCUGGGUCAAAUAUUGCACUGCUGUUUGUAUUUGUCAAUGUCUGUUUACAAACCACGACCCAUAGUGGAUACUGAAGUGACUUAUCACUACCAAAAAUAACAGUACUUAAUUAAAAGGAAAAGGAAAUUGAGUGAAACAGAGAACUUGGGCCAAGACCCAAGGUCUUGUGUUGGGAUCUAAUUGCUUAGCUGUCAUGUUCUUGAAGCUGCUGAUCCAAGAACAUGUGGACUGAAGACAGCAUGUACCCUAACAUGAGGUGCCACCCCCUCUGGGGCCCAAAAACUUGAUCUCGUGGUAACUCCUGACCUCUGUGUCCCAUGAGCAACAUUCUGAACAGCCCGAUCAGGAUCCUCGACCAUCAUCAGGUCAUAAGAUCUGGGCAACAUUUUC